UUACGGUCAUAUCACAGUGAAACACCAGUUCUCGUAAGAUCACCGAAGUUAAGCAACGUCAAAACUGGUCAGUACCUAAAUGGGUGACUGCUUGGGAAUACCAGUUGCUGUAAG